CUUGGGCGGGAAAAGUACGCGCAUACGCAUAUACUUCGCGUCGCUAUGUCGGCCAUGUUGAAAAGCAUUGGACCUGUCAAGUUUAAUAUUGGUAUUAAAUUGUGUAUUAUUGGUCAUAUGCGCCUGAAGAUAGGAAGCAACGACCAUCCAAAAUAGAGAGAGAGAAAUUGUGUGUUGCUUUAUUUUGCGAGUGUUUUAUUAUUAUUACAAUGGAUAAACAGAAAAAACGUGGUCAUAUUUGUGCUGUAGUGAACUGUAGAAGCAGCAGAUUAAAGACUAAUAAGAGUUUAUUAACAUUUCCAAAUGAUAUUGAUAGGGCUAUCCUCUGGACAAUGGCAUGUGGUCGUGAUGAUUUGAGAGAAAAAGCUGGGAAUCUGCAUAACUACAGAAUUUGUGAAGGGCAUUUUGAGGACAAACACUUUCUCAAUCACCUUAAAAACAGACUGAAGCCUAAUGCUGUGCCAUCGAUAUUUCCCACAUUGGAAAUUUCCUCAAACUAACAUUGGAAUCACAUAUACGCUGCAUUCACCACAGUAAUCGCUGAUGAAGAUACUUCUGGAUAUCAAAACCAUCUAGAUUCUGAACAUUCUGUGGUAGAUUCAGCAGAAUAUUCUUUUGAACCCAGGU